UUUCGAAACCAAUGCAAAAAAAAGAAAAAAUUACCUGUGAAGAGAACUCUGCUGAUCAUCCCGGGAAGAACCAUCAUAAAGAAUGGCAACACCUUGAGACACAUCAUGCAACAAAGAACUGCCUGUGCUGCCCUUACCCAUAGUCCAACCGCCAUGACAAACACAAAGUAAAGGACCAGCACCACGAUGUCCACCACCUCCAGAGAUGCCUUUGUGGAGUUCUUAUUGCUGGACAUUUUCGUCUUUCUGCUUUUCCAAGGUGCAAGAUGGCCGACUCUGCAAGACAUGUGAAUGGAGACAGUUCAUGAUUGUUCUCAGCAGGUACACAUUGAUGGUGGCAAAUUUAAAAUAACAUUAUCCUUUGGUGAAGCAAUACAAGGUGAAAGUAGGUGGAUAGGUGUGGCUGAGCCGAUUACAUCAUAACCAGAUUGCUGUUUAUAAAGUAAGCCAGGAAAAUGUUGUGAAAGUGUGAAGAAUAUGAUUCACUGUGUUUUAUGACAGCAGCUAUACAGCGAGAUAUUAAAGUUCACUGUAUGGGGCCAAAUAUUCAAAAUACUCAACUUUAUUAAGUUUAAUUAACCACUUUACAUCUGGGAACAUUUUUAAUUGUCCCACACACGUUAAAAUCUGAAUCUCUUGCUGGAAAAUUUGUGGGCAUGUUCUGUAAAUUAAAUAAUGCAAAUCCUCAAA